rnacentral:rRNA from 1 species
UCGUCAGCUCGUGUCGUGAGGAUGUAGGGUUAAGUCCCGCAACGAGCACAACCCUUAUGGUCAGUAGCCAGCACGUUAUGGUGGGCACUCUGGCAAGACUGCCCGGGAUAACCGGGAGGAAGGUGGGGAUGACGUCAAAUCAUCAUGCCCCUUAUGAUUUGGGCAACACACGUGCUACAAUGGCGUAACAGAGAGAAGCGAUCCCGCGAGGGGGAGCAAAUCUUCAAAUAUCGUCUCAGUUCGGACUGCAGUCUGCAACUCGACUGCACGAAGCUGGAAUUGCUAGUAAUCGCGAAUCAGCAUGUCGCGGUGAAUACGUUCCCGGGUCUUGUACACACCGCCCGUCACACCAUGGGAGUCAGCAACGCCCGAAGUCAGUGACCCAACCUUUCAGGAGGGAGCUGCCGAAGGCGGGGCGGAUAACUGGGGUGAAGUCGUAACAAGGUAACCGUA